UUUCCGUAGGUGAACCUGCGGAAGGAUCAUUAACGAGUUAGGGUCAAUCUGGUAGGACUUCCACCCCUUUGUUUAAUUACGAUGUUGCUUUGGUACGCUUGUUUCACGUACGACUGAACUCCUCGGUCAACCCACCCCUAACCGCCAAUAUCUUUCUACAACUUCUCGGUCAUUUGUUAUGUCUGAGUAAUUAAUUUAAUAGUUAAAACUUUCAACAACGGACUAUUUGGUUUUGGCAUUGAUGAAGAACGAAGCACAUCGGUAGAGCAACCGUCCAAA
rnacentral:misc_RNA from 1 species